CUCAUCUGGAUUGCCAGGGCAAUCAAAGAUUUUAAUAGAAUGUAGAGUUAUUAAGUAACUUACAAGGCUUUCAGAGGGAAUUGAGUAGAAUUUAUAGACCUAAAUUUUACAGAUGUUGGUCCAAAAAGAAGGGUUUCACCCAUGUUUUAACAGGAAUUUGUACGGAAAAAUGUUUUUGACGCUUAAUUUAACUGGUGUAUGCCAGGAAAAAUUUUUUCGACCCUUUUUUUUACUGUCCGGAAAAAAAGUUUUUCAACCUCCCCCCCCCCCNNNNNNNNNNNNNNNNNNNNCCCCCCCCCCUCGAAUAGUGGCCAGAAAUAUAAGUGGCCAGAAAUAAAAAUUUGCUGCAGGGCAAUUCUGGGAGACACCCCCCGAAUUAAAAGGGGCUAGUUUCGCCCCUGAUGAACAGGUUCGGUGAUUGAUUCUAACGAGUCACAAGCACUCAUACCACUUUUGUUUAAGCAUGUCAAUCACAAAACAUUGCUCAUUUUAUGUUGGUCUGUGCCAGUGUAUAGAUAGUACCAAUAAUAAGAAAGCUGCGGAUUGAAAGGGAAACAACUACCUAAAAAAACAAGCAGAACUUCGACGUUUUGGCAAAGACGUCGGGAAGUUAAUUCCCGACGAAGGGCCUUUGCUCGAAACCUUGAAGUUCUGCUUGUAUUUUUCAGGUACUUGUUUCCAGGGACGCCGGAACUGGGG
rnacentral:lncRNA from 1 species